GCCGCCCGCUGGCGGCGUGCCUAAUACAUGCAAGUAGAACGCUGAAGGAGGAGUUUGCUUCUAUGGAUGAGUUGCGAACGGGUGAGUAACGCGUAGGUAACCUGCCUGGUAGCGGGGGAUAACUAUUGGAAACGAUAGCUAAUACCGCAUAACAGUAGAUAUCGCAUGAUAUCUACUUGAAAGGUGCAAUUGCAUCACUACCAGAUGGACCUGCGUUGUAUUAGCUUGUUGGUGAGGUAACGGCUCACCAAGGCGACGAUACAUAGCCGACCGGAGAGGGGGAUCGGCCACACUGGGACUGAGACACGGCCCAGAGGCCUACGGGAGGCAGCAGUAGGGAAUCUUAGGCAAUGGACGGAAGUCUGACCGAGCAAGGCCGCGUGAGUGACGAAGAGUUUCGGAUCGUAAAGCUCGGUUUUAAGAGAAGAACGAGUGUGAGAGUGGAAAGAUCACUCUGUGACGGUAUCUUACAAGAAAGGGACGGCUAACUACGUG
rnacentral:rRNA from 1 species